rnacentral:rRNA from 1 species
GAUGAACGCUGGCGGCGUGCUUAACACAUGCAAGUCGAACGAUGAAGCCCAGCUUGCUGGGUGGAUUAGUGGCGAACGGGUGAGUAACACGUGAGUAACCUGCCCUUAACUCUGGGAUAAGCCUGGGAAACUGGGUCUAAUACCGGAUAGGAGCGCCUACCGCAUGGUGGGUGUUGGAAAGAUUUAUCGGUUUUGGAUGGACUCGCGGCCUAUCAGCUUGUUGGUGAGGUAAUGGCUCACCAAGGCGACGACGGGUAGCCGGCCUGAGAGGGUGACCGGCCACACUGGGACUGAGACACGGCCCAGACUCCUACGGGAGGCAGCAGUGGGGAAUAUUGCACAAUGGGCGAAAGCCUGAUGCAGCGACGCCGCGUGAGGGAUGACGGCCUUCGGGUUGUAAACCUCUUUCAGUAGGGAAGAAGCGAAGGUGACGGUACCUGCAGAAGAAGCACCGGCUAACUACGUG